UACAGAGGUCUCAAGCGUUGUUCGGAUUCAUUGGGCGUAAAGGGUGCGUAGGCGGCGCGGUAAGUCGGGUGUGAAAUCUCGGAGCUUAACUCCGAAACUGCAUUCGAUACUGCCGUGCUUGAGGACUGGAGAGGAGACUGGAAUUUACGGUGUAGCGGUGAAAUGCGUAGAUAUCGGGAGGAACACCGGUGGCGAAGGCGGCUCUCUGGUACGUGACUGACGCUGAGACGCGAAAGCGUGGGGAGCGAACAGG
rnacentral:rRNA from 1 species